rfam:Oikopleura dioica, whole genome shotgun assembly, reference scaffold set, scaffold scaffold_34
AAACCGGCCCUUUUAAGGGCCACAUACAUCGAAGAUCAACGUAUU